rnacentral:rRNA from 1 species
GUGGGGAAUAUUGGACAAUGGGGGGAACCCUGAUCCAGCCAUGCCGCGUGUGUGAAGAAGGCCUUUUGGUUGUAAAGCACUUUAAGCGAGGAGGAGGCUUACCUGGUUAAUACCUGGGAUAAGUGGACGUUACUCGCAGAAUAAGCACCGGCUAACUCUGUGCCAGCAGCCGCGGUAAUACAGAGGGUGCAAGCGUUAAUCGGAUUUACUGGGCGUAAAGCGCGCGUAGGUGGCUAAUUAAGUCAAAUGUGAAAUCCCCGAGCUUAACUUGGGAAUUGCAUUCGAUACUGGUUAGCUAGAGUAUGGGAGAGGAUGGUAGAAUUCCAGGUGUAGCGGUGAAAUGCGUAGAGAUCUGGAGGAAUACCGAUGGCGAAGGCAGCCAUCUGGCCUAAUACUGACACUGAGGUGCGAAAGCAUGGGGAGCAAACAGGAUUAGAAACCCCGGUAGUCC